GACCAUCAGGUGAUGGUCAGGCAGUUGUUAAACUGUCUCUCUAAAGUAAUCAUUGGUUGCAGCUGGUGCCAGGGAAAGACAGUCUCCCAAUAAAUAGAAACACCUGAAGCUGGUGAUCAGCAGCUUCCUGAUAAGAUCUCAGGAGUCGGAUGAGAGGGCUCACACAUGCGCACUAAGAGGCAAAAUGGCAGUCUUUAACUGUUGACAUGACCUCCUUGGAACAUUCAGACUGAGAACUACCUGUAAUUUGAGCGAAAAAAAUCUUCUUUUGGAAACUCCUUAAGAUAUAGUCUGCCUUACUGCACGCUAUUGAGUUCUGGAGGCUGGAGAGUCCAAGGUCAGGAGGCUACAUCUGCUUGGCAUCUGUUGGUUGGAAUGUGGGUAUGGUUGCUGGAGGUGAAAUAGAAAUUCUGAACCAGGAGCACAUUUUGGAAAUGAGGUCACCACUGCACAACAACAGAGUAAAAGAAGUCUGUGUCCUGAAACCGAGAAACACCAUUCCAGUCCUGUAGCUCCUGCCUUAUUUUAACAAGAGACAGAAAGAAAUUCCUAUUUUACCUAAGGCCCUGUUAGUUUGAGCUUUCUCUAACUUUUGGCUGAUACUUAGCAAUCAGCAAGAAACUUUAUGAUUUUGUUUUUGCUCCUAGGUCUACCUGAAUGAAGGAAAAAGACUGUCCCGCGUAUUAAUUUCAACUAGAAAAGAGAUAAAGCGAAUUAAUUUUAAAAAUAUUUCUACUAACCUCUAG
rnacentral:lncRNA from 1 species